rnacentral:rRNA from 1 species
UGGGGAAUAUUGGGCAAUGGGCGCAAGCCUGACCCAGCAACGCCGCGUGAGGGAAGAAGGUCUUCGGAUUGUAAACCUCUGUCCUUGGGGACGAAAAAAAUGACGGUACCCAAGGAGGAAGCUCCGGCUAACUACGUGCCAGCAGCCGCGGUAAUACGUAGGGAGCGAGCGUUGUCCGGAAUUACUGGGCGUAAAGGGUGCGUAGGCGGCAUGGCAAGUCAGAUGUGAAGUCCCCGGGCUUAACCCGGGGGGGGCAUUUGAAACUGCUGUGCUUGAGUGCAGGAGAGGAAAGCGGAAUUCCUAGUGUAGCGGUGAAAUGCGUAGAUAUUAGGAGGAACACCAGUGGCGAAGGCGGCUUUCUGGACUGUAACUGACGCUGAGGCACGAAAGCGUGGGGAGCAAACA